rnacentral:rRNA from 1 species
UACGGAGGGUGCUAGCGUUGUUCGGAAUCACUGGGCGUAAAGCGCGUGUAGGCGGCCUCCCAAGUCUGAUGUGAAAGCCCGGGGCUCACCCCCGGAAGUGCAUUGGAAACUGUGAGGCUCGAGUCCCGGAGAGGAGAGUGGAAUUCCUGGGGUAGCGGUGAAAUGCGUAGAUAUCAGGAGGAACACCGGUGGCGAAGGCGGCUCUCUGGACGGUGACUGACGCUGAGACGCGAAAGCGUGGGGAGCGAACCGG